rnacentral:rRNA from 1 species
UAAAGACUACCUUUCCUAUCCCCCUUCCCCCCUCCCUCCCCUUCCCUUUUCAUGGGGGCAAAGCCCCCAAACCCCCAGUCCUCGCUUCGCUCGAUUACUAACAAUUUCUCUAGGAAGGUGAACUAUUCGUGGAUAAGUUGAAGCCAGGGGAAACCCUGGUGGAGGACUGCAGCGGUUCUGACGUGCAAAUCGAUCGUCAAAUCUGCGAAUAGGGGCGAAAGACUAAUCGAACCUUCUAGUAGCUGGUUCCUGUCGAAGUUUCCCUCAGGAUAGCAGCAACGAUAAACAGUCUCAUGAGGUAGAGCAACGAUUAGAGGCCUGGGGGUUGAAACAACCUUCUCCUAUUCUCGAACUCCGAAUAUGUGAGAAGUCCUUGUUUCUUUAUUGAACGGGACAUUG